AUUGAACGCUGGCGGAAUGCUUUACACAUGCAAGUCGAACGGCAGCACGGGGCAACCUGGUGGCGAGUGGCGAACGGGUGAGUAAUACAUCGGAACGUGCCCAAUCGUGGGGGAUAACGUAGCGAAAGUUACGCUAAUACCGCAUACGAUCUACGGAUGAAAGCGGGGGAUCGCAAGACCUCGCGCGAAUGGAGCGGCCGAUGUCAGAUUAGGUAGUUGGUGGGGUAAAGGCUCACCAAGCCGACGAUCUGUAGCUGGUCUGAGAGGACGACCAGCCACACUGGGACUGAGACACGGCCCAGACUCCUACGGGAGGCAGCAGUGGGGAAUUUUGGACAAUGGGCGCAAGCCUGAUCCAGCCAUUCCGCGUGCAGGAUGAAGGCCUUCGGUUGUAACUGCUUUGUACGGUAACGAAACGGUUCUCUCUAAUACAGGGGCGUAAUGACGGUACCGUAAGAAUAAGACACCGGCUAACUACGUGCCAGCAGCCGCGGAA
rnacentral:rRNA from 1 species